rnacentral:tRNA from 1 species
UGGUAUGUAGCUUAGUGGUAAAGUGUUUGUCUGGCGUGCACAAAGCCCUGGGUUCAAAUUCUAGCAUGGAAA